AGUGUGGUAGGCGGGAUUAGAUCCUUGCCCUACGACCUCCUUUCACCUGCAGUUGGGGUAAUUCUAGUUAAAAUUCUAGUUAAAAGACGACUUGAUGCAACCUCGGGAAACCACCACCAGCAGCAGUGACCCAACUAAGGUUUUCACACAGACAUAGUAAGUGGGGCGCCAGAAUGUCCCGCGGCGGCCGAGCAGGUGAAGCCGGCAGGGCCCUUGUUAACUCUGCCUGAUGAAGUAUCUUAGCAGGUUACUCUCCUGGAUAGUUUAAGUCCCUCCGGACUUAGGAGUUGACAUCCUAAAGGACAUAUGGAAGAAAACCCAUUUUAGUUAAGUGAGAAACUCAGCUGGAAGCAAGAGAGGAGUCCAGGGUGGGAGGAGUCUAAGUUUGGGAAGCAACCGAAGUGUGCCAGAAAAGGAAACAAAGGCAGCUUCCUCCCUCGUCCUGGGAAUUGAGGAGCUCCGAGCUUCCAGCUGUGGCCUGGGUGGUACUGUGCUUUUAUUCUCCAGUCCUGAAACUAGCUGCAUUUCAGCAAAUCUGGAACCCGAACUUUUCUUUAAAACGAUAGACUCAACAGGAUAGAAACAGUGUGGGGCUUGGGAAACAGUAAAAAAAAAAAAAAAAAAAUGAUUCAAAUACAAGAUCCUCAACUCCAUCCACUGGUCUAAGAGACUGAGUAAUUCCUUCAAAACUGGGAGCCCUCUAAGCAUUAUGAAUUUACUGAUGUUGCCAUAUCUUUGGAAUAUAGUGCAUUUAACAAACACCGUCUUGGCUACCCUUUGGUGUACCUUUGCUUGCAUUCCUGAGAACCCUUGCUCUCAGAUUUCAUGACACAUUUAGAAACUGGAUGGGCUAUUUCAUGUAGGCAAACCACCUCCUCCACUUAAAUCAAGUAGGUGAAGAAUUUGGACUAUAAUAAAAUAAGGUGGGGCUGACUAGAGAGGGUGAAAUAGCAUCUUUGGAACCGUAUUCACACAGACAUGUCUUUAUAAAGCCUGGGACAGUGAAAUUAGGAUUUAAUGUACAAAAAUCCAAAUCAUCACUUCAAUGGAAUGAGGGUUGACUUGCUGCCUGUGUGGUAGGUUGGAGGCUGUGAUGCUUCAGGUCUCAUCAUGUUUCCCAUGUGGUUCUCCUCUUCAGACUCCUCUUGGAGCUGGUGUGCCUGGCCCCGCCCCCAGUCUUUUUCGGAGACAAUGAUUGAAUAUGCUUCCAAAAGCUGCUUACUCAUGAAGGACGAAAUCAUUCUUUCCCUGGAUUCUGGCUGGACCCUGGACACUGUCACCACAAGGCUGAUUUCUGCCAAGAGAGCUCACCUCUGUGUUGGCAUCCACAACAUCUGGAUCCUCUCUGCAUGGCUCGGGGGUCCACCCUUUCCUCCCUGUCCCUCUGAACCCCCACUCCCCCAUGGCCUGCUGCCUAGGGAUGCACUUCUCCUUGGUGGAAAUAGCUGGGGCCAAGGUCUGGGUGUGGCCAGCCUGUCUUUGUGGCACCUUGGCUCCCUGCUCUUCCCAGAACAAAGUGCCCUUCCCCUUCCCUGCCAUCACUUCCUGGAGUCACUGCUCACGAUGCCUGACAUUUGCCCUGAGCAUUGCACCUUCUGAAUCUUUGCUGGUGAAUUUUUCUGAGGGGUGGAGAGGCCAGGAAGAGAGGCAACAGAACCUUGGUGACCCCACCUAGAGGCCCAAUCUCACCAGAACAAAAGCUCAGGCUUAGUUCAGAUUUGCAGGAAUAUUCAGGCCAGUAUCACAGGGAAGCUUCAGGGAGGGGUGCCUGGAAGAUAGGAGACCUAUGACUGCAUGACCCACCCAAAAUGUUGGUACAGAGGCGGAAAGGUAGGGCCUCUCUAGACCCCUUUGUGGUCACUCCUCACUGCCCUGCCACUAGCGCUCUGAGCUUCCCCCAGUGCGUUCUCUGACAAAACCGCACAUGUCUGCUCUGACAUCUCUCCUGAAGCCCAAAUUGAUGGAGCUCCCAGAGCCUCACUUCUCAGAGUGGGAGCCCUUCUUGCAUAGGGGCUGAGCCCCUCAUCCCAACUCUGCAGCUCUUCAGUUGCAAACAGAGACCAGUCCAUCCUUGGUUCAGCAGUGCUUUCAUAAGAAAAUCAUUGAUGGGAGGACAUAGCCCCAAGUCUGCCAUUUUGCCAAGAGGAAGGUUGUAGAGAGAAGGAUUAGGUGGUAAGACUGAGCUCUUGUAGGGAUGCUCCCUUGUAUAAGAGAACCCAAGAGGAGGAAAAAUAAGGAGUUCUCCUGCUCUUGCCUGGAGGCAUGCCUGGUAAAGGAUGGACCAGAUUGGGGGUCUAAGACCAAAGGUAGCACCCACAAAGGGGGUUUUGGGGGCUGGAAGUACAAAUCAGGAAGGCUGGAUGAGAUCCAGCUCUAGUCUCUUAUGGAAAUGGAACUCUUGCUUUGUCUUCGGAGGCUCCCUGGGAGGGUAGGCUCUUGGGAUCUGAGGUUCUGGUUCACCAGCAUCUCCCUUAGUAGAGCAGCCUGGUUGGGGCUAGUGAAGGAGCUGUCAUUUAUGGAAUAUCUGCUGUAUGCCAUGAACCCUUUAUACAUAACAUGGUGGCCAAAAUUUGUUUUCUGUAGUUAGCAUCAGAGUCCCCACAAGGAGAAUGCUCCUUGUUGAGGAGACGCUUGGAUCCUGGCUGAAACCAUCCCUGUCCUUGUGACCUUGUGAUUCAUAAUGAGAAAUAUAUAUUUGGUUUAUGCCUCCCGUGCCGGCACAGAGCUCCUAAACCCCUUGGAAUUUCCUGUGGUGAGAGCAGUAAAGGUGUCUUUUUUUGUGUUAACAAGGUGACUUUAUGUUAACAAGGAUGGGGGUUGGUUGCUUAGGGACCCAACCUUGUGAUUAGAGGCUUAGGACUUUCAGUCCCACCUCCUGACCUCUGGAGGUUGAAUCAAUCACCAAGGGCCAGUGCACCGUGAUUAUAUAAUGAAGCCUCCAUAAGAACUCAGUAGGAUGGGAUUCAGAGAGCUUCCCUCUAGGUGAACAUGUGACGAUUCUGGGAGAGUGGCACACUUGAAGCGGGUGUGUAAGCCCUGUGCCCUUUCCCCACACCUUGCUCUAUGCAUUUCUAUCAUCUGGCUGCUCCUGAGUUAUUUUCCUUUAUAAUAAACCAGUGAUAU